rnacentral:rRNA from 1 species
GUUGCCUCGGCGGGAACAGACGGCCCCGUAACACGGGCCGCCCCCGCCAGAGGACCCCCUAACUCUGUUUCUAUAAUGUUUCUUCUGAGUAAACAAGCAAAUAAAUUAAAACUUUCAACAACGGAUCUCUUGGCUCUGGCAUCGAUGAAGAACGCAGCGAAAUGCGAUAAGUAAUGUGAAUUGCAGAAUUCAGUGAAUCAUCGAAUCUUUGAACGCACAUUGCGCCCGCCAGUAUUCUGGCGGGCAUGCCUGUUCGAGCGUCAUUACAACCCUCAGGCCCCCGGGCCUGGCGUUGGGGAUCGGCGGAAGCCCCCUGCGGGCACAACGCCGUCCCCCAAAUACAGUGGCGGUCCCGCCGCAGCUUCCAUUGCGUAGUAGCUAACACCUCGCAACUGGAGAGCGGCGCGGCCACGCCGUAAAACACCCAACUUCUGAAUGUUGACCUCGAAUCAGGUAGGAAUACCCGCUGAACUUAAGCAUAUCAAUAAGCGGAGG